GUGAGGAAUAUUGGGCAAUGGGCGAAAGCCUGACCCAGCCACGCCGCGUGAGUGAUGAAGGCCUUCGGGUUGUAAAGCUCUGUGGGGAGGGAAGAAAAAGCGGGAGAGUAACUGCUCUCGUGUUGACGGUACCUCCUUAGCAAGCACCGGCUAACUCUGUGCCAGCAGCCGCGGUAAUACAGAGGGUGCAAACGUUGCUCGGAAUUACUGGGCGUAAAGCGCGUGUAGGCUGACAUGCAAGUCGGGUGUGAAAUCCCAGGGCUCAACCUUGGAACUGCACUCGAAACUGCACGUCUUGAGUACUGGAGAGGGAAUCGGAAUUCCGGGUGUAGAGGUGAAAUUCGUAGAUAUCCGGAGGAACACCAGUGGCGAAGGCGGCUUCCUGGACAGUAACUGACGCUGAGACGCGAAAGCGUGGGGAGCAAACAGGAUUAGAAACCCGAGUAGUCC
rnacentral:rRNA from 1 species